UUGCCCUCUUGCAGUAAGAGAUUGCCCUUGUUACCACUGGAUGUCUCCCCUUUUUUGUGGCCAUCCGUGUAGCAACUCUGUAGAGGCAUUCCCUCUCUGUUCCGCCUUGAGCCCAAACUGGCUGCUUUUAGAACAAAAAACCGUAAAAUACAGGUUUGCUCCUCCUUUCCCUUGUUUUCACUGAGACAAGUAUUGCCUUCCUUUUGGUACUCCAGCUGCUAAAGCGUGCAGAGAUACAUUAAAUUAACCUUUAAAGGAAAAAAAUAUCCUUGAAUUCUUAACUUGCCUUCUAGAUUCAUGUUCCUUCUACUGAUAUUUUAACCUCUGAGCAGAUUUGUGAUAGGGAGUGCCGGCUGCCAGAAACCAUGCUGCCAGGUGGAGGAAGUCGAAGAGAGACUAUGGCCAUAAGGUUUGUUUCGGUUUUAUCACGCUGGGCUUACCCCCUGCUCAGGGCAUCAGUUACCCUUCUGGAAUAACCGAAACAGUCCUGGCACUCUGGUGCUGCCUCCUGGCUCCUUUGGGUGUGUUCAUCAGAGGCAGGGAACUCCCAUUUUGUCAUCAUUUUCUUCUCAGGUCUUGUGUUCUGACUUUAUUAGGCGUAUCUUACAUCAUUUCUACCGUCCGUUUUCCUCCUCAGCAUGACAUUUCAGUUGGUGUAAUUUAUUAUGAAAAUCAGCGCCAGAGGAACUGAUGGUAAUUACAAUAACAUAGUUACUGGGUGAGGGCGUGGGAGAGACACUCUCACUGUGUGUUUCCCCUAGAGUUUUAUGCAAGGGUCCAUGCUAGGUGGCUUUAUUCAGAUUAGGGUACAGAUGGAAUCGUAUCACGACUAAAUUUUAGUCUGGUGGGUGUGUAGACAGUCAAAGAAUUAAGCAAGUGCCUUGUGUUUCCUGGAAAAUACUAAAACUCAUUUGGGUGAAAGCUCCCAGAUGAUGCUAAUUUCUUGCACCUCUGCCUUUUCCUUGGAAGAACUUUUGGAUGGAGUCACAUAGUAUAAAAGUCCAGAAUGUCCUUGGUUUACCUUUUUAUGUAUGUGUGAAACUAUUCAUAUUUGAUUUUUUCCCCCCAAUAUUGCAUAUGAUGGAAAGCCAGAGUUAGCUGGCAGAAUCUAAUUCUUCCUGGGACCUCGUUCCAUUUUUAACGCUAGGUUCCUUCUGCUCUCCUUCAAAUCCUACUGCUCUCGCUCUCUGAUAGAAUUUAUUUCCUGGCAGGUAUGGUCACACGCCGACCAGCUUUUGGUCAUGAUUAGCUCAAAGGAAUUUCCAUUUCUUCUUCAGGUGCUCAGUAAGGCACCUUUACUUGAGAUGGUAGUCUUUCCAAGUGAGUGUUACUAGUAAGCUUUCACCAUGAGUGGGAAGAUGUUGAGUCUCUAUAACGUGGAACUCUUCUGAACCUCUUGUGGUGUAUUUGGAUAAGUUACAUUUUCUUAGUUACAGGGGAACAUGCAUAUUUCCAUUUUUAGAGUAUCCAGAAAUUUGAAGAAUUUGUUUUGUUUAAGGUUAGCUGCUUCUCUGCCUGAUCAUGCAGGACGUUGUGUUUUGUUCCCUUAGCCACCUCUCCCACCUCAGUGUUUUUCACUGUUGUUUUUAAUUGUAGGAUGAUCAGUAGAUUGACACAGUGGCAUGUAAUCAACAGGUACUGUGGGUAUUUAAGAAGGAGAUAAACAGUUGUAACUAUUUUUGCUGCAAUUUUAUAGGAGAAAUGGGCUAUAAAAGAAAUAUCUAUAAACCAGAGAGCAUUUAGGAAAUUGUAUAUUUUAUAGGUGGUAAUUAAGGUGAUCUUCAGGAUAUAAGAUAGAGAGUUUAUGCAGCUUUUGUUUUCCUGAUGUAAAGUUUUUAUUCAUCUUCCUAUAUACAGCUCAGCACUUUUGUUGUCCCUUAUAUUGCUUAUGAGGAUUAAUGUUUUAAAUUCGCUGUGUUUGUGCUUUUCAGAGACUUGUCGUAAUCGUGCGGUUAUGUUUAUAUCCCCAUAAAUGCUGGGAUUCAUGGGAAACUGAUCAGAUGACUGCCCGGGUGUUAUUUCCUAUUCAACAGAGUAACUUCCACAGUACCCUAAAGGAAACUGGUGUGUGUUUUAUGACCUAGGUUCCCAGUACUUUCAUUUAGAGGCAAAGAGAAGCAUUCUAUCUUGCUUGCCUUACCCGACCAUUAAUCCUUGUUGUGCAGAAGAGAGCUUAUUUUGUUAGACCCUUGACUGUCAGCAAGAGAAUUAUAUCUAGUCACUGUCUCCCAGUUUGCAGCUGCCUUCCCUUCCAGGCUCCCCUCUUACUGGUACUCACAAAGUCAGGACUGUGUUAAAAGCAGACGUGGUGAGGUGUUGUAAAUCAUGCGUACGGAUGCAGAAUCUCUUCGGUUGUUGGAAUUCUGUAUCGCUGUGUGAUUUUGUUAGCGUGGGUUGUCAGAAAUCUGCCAAAUUUAAGAGUCAAGAAGAGAAAGAAAAGGAAUAAAAGAGGCGAGGGGAGGAAAAUGGCUUCCUUACUGGUGUUAGUAAUCUCCCAUGUAGCUUAUGAUCUAAAAGUGAUCAUUUAUUUUGAAAAAUCCAGGUAGCAUAGAGUAGAACAUUGCGUUUCCUACACAUUCCUCAUCGUUGUCUCCCCAGAAAAUUAUUUUUAGAGUUUAUAAACCCAGAUUAAAUAUCCAUAUUCAGUUUGGCUUAAUUUUUAAAAACAAAUAUUUAAACUCCAGUUUUUGUGUCUUUGAUAUACAUCAACAGUCGUGCAGAUCAAGGAUCGGAAAGAAACCGGGGAUUAAGCAUCUCUGCAUUUCCCUUUGCACGUUGGGUACAGGGGGUAUUAGUAUGCACCAGCCGCAACGUUCUAGCACCUUAUGGAAGUAAGUCAUGAUUAUUUAUUAUAAUUAAAGAAAAAAGUUCAGCUGCAUCUCUGUAGAAUACUUACUCUGCAGAGUGAAGCUGUUCUGUCUUUUCCAGCAGGAUUGACUCUUUCACUCUUAAGUCUUUAUUGAGAAAAUCUUAAAUGGUUUAACAUUCCUUUAUAUCCUCUUACCAGUGUCAAAUGUGGGGCCGAAGGGAUAUUUUUUCCCAAAAAGGGAAAAACUUUGUUACCCAUUGGUCACUCUUCGAAAUCCGGUCACGAUCAGUAGAUUUUAACAGUCGAUGGCUUCCUCUGUCGGCACUGGAGUGGUUGGUUGUGAAGGUUAUCAUCUGCUACUCUUUUCCCUCAGAAACCUGCACUUGCCGUGUUUUGGAUAAGAAGGUUUGGUGGGACAGAAUGUGAAAGAUCACUCAAACCAAAGCCAGUUCAAAGGAGUAUUCUCUCCUGUUGGUUUACCUCCACCUCGGAUCUACAAGGAUAUUACAGUACACAGUGAACAGUCUGUAACAUUUCUACCAGGUUUUCAGUAGCAUAUCGGUCUUGGCAUUUCUUGGCACUGUGGUUCCCUGUCCUUGGUGAUGUCUUAUUAUUUGUGAGUUUUUGUUGGUUGGGUUUUGUUUUUGGUGUUUUUUUUUUUUUUCUUUUAAUAACUAAACGGGACUAUAAAUGUAGAUGUGUAUCAGUACCAAGAAGUCCUUUUCUGGAAUCCCUAAAUUCCUGAUUCCUACUCAAGUCUUUUAAACUUGUUUUUUCUUGCUGAGUAGCAAAGAACUUUUAUUUUUCACUUUCCUAUAUACCUAAAAAGUAUGGACACUGCGUUUCAAUGGACCGUGUUGCGUAGUUUUUUGCCGAAAACUUUUUCUGUAAACACAAUUGCCUUGUUCAGUUUUGUUGUAAACUGACUUACCGUAAGAUGCACUGUUGAUAUGCUUUCUGAUGUGUGUUUGAUAAGGGUGAUAAAAUAAAGCUUAAAAAUAAAGGAGUUGUGUUUUCAUUUCAACUAUUCCUGCAUUUAGUGUAAAUAAUCCAGUUUAGAUAAUAGGUAAAUACGCUUAUUUGGGGGUUUCAUUUUUACUAGGAGCUACCAUUGAGAAAUUGCCAUGUAGCCUCAACCAUUUCUGAAGAAGAUGGUUUUUCACUUACAGAAGUAGCGUGAUGGGGCUGAAAUGUAACUUUUCAUUUUGGAAUACAUGUUCUUGAUACCGUAGAAACAGGCUUCUCUCCUGGAAGGAAGCAGAAUUCUUAGUUGGAAGAUUGGUGUUCUGAUCUUGGUUCUUUUCUCAAGUCGGACGGCUUUCAUCGAGUGACAGGCAGAGAAGAUGGCUUAGAGAACUCAUCAGAAACUUCCCACCACUCUCGGGACCAAUUUUAAGCUCCAGUGUGACUAGAGUCUGGGAAGCCAGGGCAGGAUAUGGAGAACACAAAGGGAAAAGGGAAACCACUUCACUUUUGGGAGAUUUGGUUUCCUUAUCUGUGAAUUAAGGGAGGUGGACCGGAUAAUCUCUAGCCAACAGCACCGCAAAGGAAUGUCAAGUCCACUCUCCUGCAUCAUACAGACCUUCUUAAGGCGGAAUACUGAGGCUGUACGUCUCCAUACUUAAUUGCACACCAACACCCUCUUGUUUACUUUCUCCCCAGCUCAUUCCACUUUGUUAUUUUCGUACUUCCUCGAUUGCAGUCGGUUUUGAGGGGCUGUACUUUCAGUAAAAAAAAAAAGUCAUCGAACAGGAUGUAUCUGUUCUUUCA